ACAGAAACUUAUUUAGUAUUUUUACUUCUAACCUGAGGAUCAAGAGUGGAAGUGAACUGAUAAAUUAUGCUAGUGACACAAAGCUGAGUGGCAUUGCCUUUGCAGAGGAGGAUCAAAAUAUCACACAGGACCAGCUGGAUCACUGAGGGCAGAAAAAAAAAAAAAAAAAAAGGAUGAAGUUAAAUAGCAUAAAGUUCAAGGUCACAUAGUCUCAGACCAGCAAGAAUUUCUGCCAAGAAUUAGCAACCUGUGUCUUGGAAACAGCUGAAGAGAAGGAAGAGACUUGAGGCUACUCUCCCAUCGCAGCCUAAUCCAAAGAAGUGCUGGGAAAGUGUGGUAUUGCAGAAGCUGUUAUAGAGAGAUUUUAAGUUUCCAUGGAAAUAAUUAGUUUACUUUCAGAGCAACUUAUGGAUAUGUUCUUCACUCAAUGCAGCCCAGGCAAGCCAAAGGGUUGGACACCCAUGAGCCAGAACAACUCUUCCCUUUCUCUCAUGAUCUUUUGAUGAGACAAACACUCCUCCUGUACCAGGGAAGCACAGAGUUGAUUGACUUGUCAAGUCAGUGAGGGCUUCUUUACUGGGAUAUUAAUUCAUGCUUUCUGAAGCUCACUGUAGCAUCUGCUUCAUCAAGCACAUCUUUCUAGUAAAAAAUAGUUCUUUAUUCCUAACCUAUGGACUAUAAAUCUCCUAAGCUACGUCUCUGGGUACCUGUAAAAUUGCUGAGUAAAUAAGGAGCAGAGUCAUCAUCAGAAUAACAACAAUAACAUUUUUUGACUACUGAACUCAGCUACAUGCUGUGGAUGUGGGUUUACCAAAGAGACUGACUAUUGCUAGCUUCCUUUCUGAUGUGCAGAUUUCACAUCUCAAUUGCACUGCCUGUAACUGCUAUAUUAAUAUACUGUAUAUUUUAAUACAUAUUGUAUGAUAUCUUAGGCAAUAACAUAUCGAUGUGAAGUUCCAUAAAACAUGCUGUAACAUUCUUUUUGAAAAACAAGAUAAAAUGACACUAAAAUAAAACUGAAGGAUUUAUACUUGUUUGAACAAUGGUUGUGCCUUUGAGAAGCCAAUAGUUAUUAUGUUGAAAAAGGUAAAUCUAUAAAUAAGAUUUAAAGAACACAGAUGCAUAAAGCACAGAGGAAAGAGAGUGGCUUCCUGGAGUCUAAAUGUACCUGCCACUUGCUUACUUCUGAUCUCAGUUAACAUGAGUAAAUUAGGUUGCUGCUUUUCAUCAUCUGUUCUCAGAUUGGUGUCAAGGACUACUUUAGUGUCUCAGAACAUGUUUUAUGUUAGGAAUAUAUGACCAGUGUGGAAGUGAAAGAGGACCCUGUUGGCACCACAGGCAUGUGUGGAGGGAGAGGGCAAGAGUUUUUAGAAUGAACUGAAUAGACCAGCUGGAAAGUAACUGGUCAGUUGAACAGAUGAUAUUGAGAAGAGGCCAUCAUAGGAGAUGAGGAAGUAAUUUUGUUAAAAUGUAUACUCUUAUCCUAUGAAGGUUUGUUUAUAUAUUUACUCUCAUGAUGACGAGUAACUUUCAUGACUUCAUUGGAAUUAUUGUUUAAGAUUAUCACAUGCUUUUCAUCUUUGCUGAAGACAGAUUUACAAAGAAAUAAUUGUCAGAACGUUUUUCAUCUUACAGUCAGGUGCUGCCUUGGUUAUGAAAUUGAUAACAUUGCCUAUCACAGAAUCAUAGAAUCGCUCAGAACCUUAAAGAUCAUAGAGUCCAACCACGACCUAUCCAUACUACCCUAAUUCUAAGAACCCUCUGCUAAAUCAUGUCUCUAUCAGUAUACACUGGAUACUGAAUCUUCUUAAUGAGAACCAAGACAGCAGUUGGGCCUGCAUUCCUUGGCUGUAGAUGGAGGAGAGCAUGCAGAAACCAAGAAACAGCAUGGGAUGAAAGUAAGAAUAGCAGGAUGCUGGAAAAGGAGCAGUGGGAAGUUGCUCAGAAAGGCUCCUGGAGGCAAAAAGUGCUGCAAAUGGAGAAAUGUAGAAAGGCAGAUGCAUGCCUUACAUUCAAAUAACAGCCUUUUUAAUGGCUGAAAAAACAGCUCUAGUCUAAUAUUGAAAUCAUGCUACACUUUUCUGUAUCAGAACAUGAGACAUCUAAUUGCACAGCAUAGUAACACAGAAACCUUUGUUACCAAAAGAAACUACCCUAAACAGACCCGCUGCAUGAAUUUGUAACGCUUUAUUUGUUUCUUUUUAAUAAUAUAAUUAUCUAUAGAUACUGAGUGUCUAAUCUCCAUUUACCUAAGUUCUGUGUACAACCCAUACAACUCCAUGUACCCUAAUCCACCCAUAAUGACUGAAUUAUUGUUGGUGUUGGACAUGUCAAACUGCAGCAGGGAAGCAGUAACACCUGAGAUUACGACUUGUUUUCUCCUCUGGUACUUGCAGCUUAAUUCCAGGUGAGGGGUAAAUGCCUUCCUCCACCAGUCUUCACAAACUUAGGCUGCUGUCCUGGUGACAGUAACCUUUUCUUCAGAGGACUGAUCCCAGCUCUCUCUAUUCUUUUAACAUUCAGGUAGGGAUGGGUGUUUUCUUUAGAUCAGAGCAUUCACCAAGGCAGUGAGACACCCAUGUGUCCUGCAGUGUGAAAUGGUUCAAGCAUGUUAAUUAGUUGGGUAUGUGCAAGAAGCUUCCUGAAUCUAUUUCAAAGCUGCUGAAGAUGCUACUCUGAAGGAGCCAUGGUGCAGUUACUGGAGGUGCUAUAGAUGUACUGCCCUUCAGCAUGGGGGCUCAGGACUCCUGCAUUCUGGCUGAGUGCUUUAGCUGGCAAGAGGAUGAAGAGGACUUAAAGCUGAGGUGGAGUGUAGCUGUAAUGCAGUGGAGUGUUAAGUGGAAUGUAAGCAUUCAUUGCCUCAGGACAGGCACCUAUAGGCAUAUUUAGGAAAAUAAAAUCCUCAAGAAAUUUCAGACAAAGCAGGGAUAUUCCUGGUAGAUCUUGGUCUUGUGCUGAUUUCGAUCCCCUAAAUUAGCUAUAUUUCUGGAAUGAAUCUUCCUAACACUAAGCUCAGUUGGUCAGAAAAAAAUGACAAAAAUGAAUUUAAAUAAAAAACUAAACUGAAAAUAUUUUUAAUUCAUUCCUUCUUUCUUUCCUUUUUAUGGCCUCUUAUGAAUUCGAGCUGUUUCUCAGAAUUUCUCUCUGGAGGUCUCUUCUAUCUCUCUCCUUAGGUUUCUCAGAUUUAGAGAGAAAUAUAAAGACUAUUUUUACUUCUACACAGGGAUUAAUAGAAUCCUGCCUGUCUAGCUGCAGGGUAAAUCAGCACAAUUUCCCUGUAUGCCAAAUGCCAGGAGUUUGUCAUAGAUAUGCUUAAGCCCUACCAUUAAAUGUGGUUUGUAGUACGUGUUGUGUACUAUUAGUGGUUAGCUAGGGAAGAAUGAUACAAAUGAUGACCAAAAGACUAGUUAAGACCCACUUCCAAAUGUCCUGUGACCGUAUCCCCAAAUUGGCAGCAGAUCUGCUUUGCUGAUCAUAAAUGUUAUACUAUUUGGAUGGACUUUUUAAACCCUGCCAUUUUGGGGCAUUUAAAAAUAAAAGGAUAAACAAAACCACAUCUGGUCUACAAAUGUGCGUGUCAUGUUUGAGCUUGAUGCAGUUUCGAAUUAGUUGUUAAACACUGAAAAGCAGGGUUCAUAAGGGAAAUGCCUACUCAGCUGAUUGUAGUGCAACUGGUGUAACUGUAAUAGAAGCCAGACACUCCUUGAAAUAGCAGACAACUGCGUAUGGCUAUGGAGGAAUAGAGGGAAAGAAAAGCCAGAUGGUGUACUUAGCUGCACUUAAAAUCUGAUUGUGUGUGUCAAUAACGAAUGCCCAAAUAAGAUUCUUUCAUUUAAAAAAAGAAAAAAAGAAUAUAUGUGCAUACUAGUAGAAUACAUGCAACCCUACAGAAAAAAACCAUGUGGAUUCCAUUGCUGUGAUGGUGGUUAUUGUAAUGACCAGUUAACCUGCAUUUGCUGCAGUUGUCUAAAUUCUUAAACAUUAAAUAUUUUACAACACAAUAACAAAAUAACUAAAUCAUAAGGAUAAUCCUGACAAACAGAAAAUAUUUAUGGCCCAUUUUCUUAGAAAUACAAAUGGUUGCUUUUGCUUAGGUUGCUGGAAAAAGUUGCUUACUGGAUGCCACAGUCUUAAAAAACUUUCCCUUAUUUGGAUGUUAGAAUGAAUUUCUGGCAGGGUCAUCUGAGUCCUUCAUUAUUUCUAGGUAGAUUAAAUGGUUUAUUAGGGGUGAAACUUGGGCCUUGUGCUAAUCAAUGGAAACUUUACAAAUCAGCCACAGCAUCACACCUAUAAAUAAACGUUUCAUGCAAGACUUUAAAAUAAAGAAUUUCUGCUAUGUAUGGAAAUUAAUGUUUCCCACAGUUACUCAGUCUUAUAGAAAGAAUUUACUUGGCUGAAGUAUGUAUAAACAAUUAAAGAAUAAAUAUCUCUAUAAUUCCUCUAUAUCUCCUCUCCUCCCUCUUCACUUCUUUCUCUCUUUCUCCACAGUGGAGAGAUUAUGAACCCCUUGCACUGAGUGUAUUUACUAUUAGCAGCCCCACUGAGUUUAGCAGAAAAGCUUUUGCACUAAGAUGUUAAUCAUUUUAAGUAAAGUCAGCAAAAGGUGGUCAUAAAUAAGCAUCAAAUGCUGUGAAACUUAAUCAUAUUAAUCAGAUUCUUUUCCAUGUCUUAUCUGUAUGUGUUCAGAUGGCACUGCAUAAAGCUAUGCAAUGAUACUACCCCAGAUACACUGGCUAAAGCCAAUUUAUCAAGUGUUUCUUUUCACAGUGUUUUUUCUCUUUCACAGUGCUUCCACUUCUGGAACUAGCAGAGUUUCUUCUAGCUGGAGAAACAGCAGCACUAGUUGCAGCGACACUCAUAGAGUUUGGGCUUUCAAAUCUCUAAAGUACUUUUGAAAUUUGUAUUUAAUAUUUAUUACCCCCUUCAAAGUGCAAUUCAGUGGAGUAGCAGAAGAGAAUUGGAUUGCCUUUCAUUAGUUUCCUGACCCCUUAUCUAAUGUAAAAACCUAUUUUAAUUGCUCAUAUCUUUGCCAAAUCUUAAAAAUCGCCAUGUACAGCAUUAAAUGAGCCCCAAUGGGUGUGAGCAUUAUGACAUUGUCUAAUUACAUGAUCACAUUUGAAUUUUGUUUUAAACUAUUUGUGCUCUAGUCUGUGCACAGGACAGAAGGAGCUUAGUUCAAAAGCAAAUAUUCAAUUUUAGUUCUCUUCCCAUUGCUCAAUAUGUCCCCCAUGCCUUAUUUACUGCAUGGUAUCCGAACCCUGCUAUGAAGAUAAUUACUAUGUCCCUUCCAGGUUUUUUUAUGGUUCUUGUUGCUAUAGUACCUGAGCAUUUAACAAACUUUAAUGAAUUUAUGUGCACAAAACCUCUGAGGUGGGUAGUGGUAUUAUUCCGUUUUGCAUGUACUGAACUGAGACACAGAGAGAUGGAAAAAAAAAAGCACAAGCCUUCAAAUAUGUCAGAUUUGAAGUGAGGUCUGAGUUUUUGGUGUGCUUCUUUACAUACUAAAAAUACUGUACACUUUGUAUACCAGAGGUAUCAAAUCAGUCACCCAGAAAAUCAGAAGUGAACAAAUAGAGCAAACAAAAGACCAAUUUAAGUCACCUGCCCAGUACCUAUAGAGUGACAUAAAUCCAGAGUUCCAGACCAUUGCUUAGAUGUCUUGCCUUGAGACCAUUUUUCUCUUCCUGAAUUCUUUACCUGAACAAUCCAGCUCUAUAGCAAAUGAGACACAGGUCUGUACAGCAGGGCAGGUCCAAAUCCUUUUCUCAACACACUAGAAGAACACUGCCUGUUCAUGUAAGUCAACUGAUGAUGGGAAGCAAUUAAGAAGAGCUCAGCAAGGGCAAGGUUGUGGUAGAGAUGGCAAACAAGUUUUCUGCUCUGAUGGUCACUGUAGAGAGACUGGAAGGAGACCCAAACCCUUUGAGAGGACUCAGCAAGAAAAGUCUGAAACAAAAGAUUUUGUGGAAGAAGUAAUUGAAUAAAGAGACAGAAUAAAAUAUGUUAAAAUAUCA